rnacentral:rRNA from 1 species
GAUGAACGCCGGCGGCGUGCCUAACACAUGCAAGUCGAGCGGAGAAUUGUUGCUUGCAACAAUUCUUAGCGGCGGACGGGUGAGUAACACGUGGGUAACCUGCCCUAAACAAAGGGAUAACAAUGAGAAAUCAUUGCUAAUACCGUAUAAGCUUACACUAUCGCAUGAUAGAGUAAGAAAAGAUUUACCGGUUUAGGAGGGGCCCGCGUCUGAUUAGCUAGUUGGAGAGGUAACGGCUCACCAAGGCGACGAUCAGUAGCCGACCUGAGAGGGUGAUCGGCCACAUUGGGACUGAGACACGGCCCAAACUCCUACGGGAGGCAGCAGUGGGGAAUAUUGCACAAUGGAGGAAACUCUGAUGCAGCAACGCCGCGUGAAGGAAGAAGGUUUUCGGAUCGUAAACUUCUAUCUACAGGGAAGAAAAAAAUGACGGUACCUGAGUAAGAAGCCCCGGCUAACUACGU